CACACACACACACACACACACACACAGAGUUUAUACUGUAUAGCCAAACAAGUUGCUUGUUAUUCUGCAUAUAUAUGCAUAUAUGACCCUGAGAAACAAGAGAUUCCAGUGGCAUCACUCCAAAAUCUCUCCCCUUCAGUGCCUGUUUUAGUGUGAUUUUUGCUGGUUUUUCUCUCCCUCACACGCACAUACACACAUCUUUUUGGACAAUGAAACAGCUAGUAAGGUUCUAGUCGAGACGCGUCUAUUGCCAGUUGAAAACUAUUCGCCCCUAGCCAUUGAGAAUAAAACACAUAAAUGAAUAGUUGUGGCAGAAACCUGAUAUUACUUCUCUGGUUGCUAAUUCUUUUCAUCUUCAUUUGUGGACAUUGCAAUGGCUCUAGAGCUAUGAACUUUUUCAAAACCAAGCCGAAACCCUCAAAUUCCAGCCAUUUCUUGAAUUCCUUACCAAAAAGGCUACCAUUUCCCGUUUCUGGUCCCUCGAGAAAUCACAAUGCCAUUGGGCUGCAAGGUUUGAGAUUUCCUUGAAGAAAAAAAACCCAUAAUGAUAAUUUUAAUUUAUCUGUCUGUUGAAGAGAAAAGCUUGUUGCUCCGAAUCUAGUUGUUCGGAGUCUUUCAAUUGAGUCGAGGGGUCAGCAAGGAAUCGACUUCAAGUAAUUGAGAAAGAUCUCCAACGCGGCGAAAAGAAUAUGAAGAGAUCAAUCAAGGGAGCUAGCUUUGGUUGGUCAAAUCUGUUCCUGUUUUGAGUUGAGGGAUCAAUAACAAAUAGUAGCUUGGCCGAUCCAGUAUUUGUUCUCGAAGGUCUUUGUUUCCAUAAAUCAGAUUUUACGCCAUUUGAUAUAAAUGAAUAAAUUGAGCCCCGUUUGGUUCUGAUAUUUCAAGUCAAAAAAUUAAUUUUUUGAUCGUUGCUUAACAUAGUCAACUGUCAUUUUUCACUUUUUAACUCACAGGUAGGACCCACCU
rnacentral:lncRNA from 1 species